AAACGCCGUAUGCGAGGAACUCGCCUGUACGGUGUGAAGUGGGGGAAAGGCUGGCGAUAAUGUCAAAAGCUUACCUAUAACUAU
rnacentral:autocatalytically_spliced_intron from 1 species